GGGUGAUCUGCCCUGCACUUUGGGAUAAGCCUGGGAAGCUGGGUCUAAUACCGGAUAGGACUACGCGAUGCAUGUCGUGUGGUGGAAAGCUUUUGCGGUGUGGGAUGGGCCCGCGGCCUAUCAGCUUGUUGGUGGGGUGAUGGCCUACCAAGACGACGACGGGUAGCCGGCCUGAGAGGGUGACCGGCCACACUGGGACUGAGAUACGGCCCAGACUCCUACGGGAGGCAGCAGUGGGGAAUAUUGCACAAUGGGCGCAAGCCUGAUGCAGCGACGCCGCGUGAGGGAUGACGGCCUUCGGGUUGUAAACCUCUUUCAGUGCCGACGAAGCGCAAGUGACGGUAGGCAUAGAAGAAGGACCGGCCAACUACGUGCCAGCAGCCGCGGUAAUACGUAGGGUCCGAGCGUUGUCCGGAAUUACUGGGCGUAAAGAGCUCGUAGGUGG
rnacentral:rRNA from 1 species